rnacentral:rRNA from 1 species
AUUGAACGCUAGCGGGAUGCUUUACACAUGCAAGUCGAACGGCAGCGCGGACUUCGUUCUGGCGGCGAGUGGCGAACGGGUGAGUAAUGUAUCGGAACGUGCCCAGUAGCGGGGGAUAACUACGCGAAAGCGUAGCUAAUACCGCAUACGCCCUACGGGGGAAAGCAGGGGAUCGUAAGACCUUGCACUAUUGGAGCGGCCGAUAUCGGAUUAGCUAGUUGGUGAGGUAACUGCUCACCAAGGCGACGAUCCGUAGCUGGUUUGAGAGGACGACCGGCCACACUGGAACUGAGACACGGACCAGACUCCUACGGGAGGCAGCAGUGGGGAAUUUUGGACAAUGGGGGAAACCCUGAUCCAGCCAUCCCGCGUGUGCGAUGAAGGCCUUCGGGUUGUAAAGCACUUUUGGCAGGAAAGAAACGUCGCGGGCUAAUACCCCGUGGAACUGACGGUACCUGCAGAAUAAGCACCGGCUAACUACGUG